rnacentral:rRNA from 1 species
CGUCAAGUCAUCAUGCCCCUUAUGACCUGGGCUACACACGUGCUACAAUGGCCGGUACAGAGCGCAGCGAAGCCGUGAGGUGGAGCGAAUCGCAAAAAGCCGGUCUCAGUUCGGAUCGGAGUCUGCAACUCGACUCCGUGAAGUCGGAAUCGCUAGUAAUCUCGGGUCAGCAUACCGAGGUGAAUACGUUCCCGGGCCUU